rnacentral:rRNA from 1 species
AGUCUCCUGAAGGAACGUUGAAGACGACGACGUUGAUAGGCCGGGUGUGUAAGCGCAGCGAUGCGUUGAGCUAACCGGUACUAAUGAACCGUGAGGCCUAACCUU